rfam:Muricauda lutaonensis strain CC-HSB-11, complete genome.
AGUGCAGGCCACCUUAUCGCGCUGACGAUAAAUGUCAGCGAGGAAAGUCCGGACACCAUAGUGCAGCAUAGCGGGUAACGCCCGUCUCCCGAAUUUUCGGGACGGACCAGUGCAACAGAAAGUAUGUACAGUUCGGCUGUAGUGAAAUCAGGUAAACUCUAUGCGGUGAAACGCCAUGUAAACCAGCGUCCCGAUCACCCCCGAUAGCUAUCGGGGCGGUAGAGGGUUGCACGCCCGAGCUGGAGGGUAGGCGGUUAGAGGUACAGGGUAACUUGUAUCCUAGAUAAAUGAUAAGGCUUUGACAGAAUCCGGCUUAUGGCCUGUUUUUUUA